rnacentral:rRNA from 1 species
GACGAACGCUGGCGGCGUGCUUAACACAUGCAAGUCGAACGGAAAGGCCCCUUUGGGGGUACUCGAGUGGCGAACGGGUGAGUAACACGUGAGUAACCUGCCCUUGACUUCGGGAUAACUUCAGGAAACUGGGGCUAAUACCGGAUAGGAAUCCUUGCUGCAUGGUGGGGGUUGGAAAGCUUCGGCGGUUUUGGAUGGACUCGCGGCUUAUCAGCUUGUUGGUGGGGUAGUGGCUUACCAAGGCUUUGACGGGUAGCCGGCCUGAGAGGGCGACCGGCCACAGUGGGACUGAGAGACGGCCCAGACUCCUACGGGAGGCAGCAGGGGGGAAUAUUGCACAAUGGGCGGAAGCCGGAUGCAGCAACGCCGCGGGCGGGAGGACGGCCUUCGGGUUGUAAACCGCUUUCAGCAGGGGCGAAGCUUGUGGUGACGGUACCUGCAGAAGAAGCACCGGCUAACUACGUG